UUAUAAUUGAUUCUGGCACAGCCAAAAGUUUUUUCUCUCAAAUCUCAGCCGCCAUUUUGUUAUUUUCACCUGCGUUGUUGCGACAAACUGAUGUAGAAACAAAAAGGCUGUGAAACCAAAGAAAAAUGUUUUUUUUAUUUUCAUUUUAUUUUUGUCAUUGAUCAAGUUCAAACGAGUUGUUAUAGGACCAUCAGAGGCGGGCCAGCCACCCGGUUUGUGUACGGUUGAAUAGGUUUUCCCAUGGCUAACCGACAAGAGUGGGAGGAGCUAACGGCAGGAAGUGGAGAGGUGUCGUUGGAAAAAUGAUAAGAAUUUUGCGUGGAUUUCCCCACGUGAUGUAACGACUAGUAGCUGCAGACUCGGUCGCUUUUCUAACGAAAACACACAAACGUUUAACAAGAGACAAAACGAAAUCAACAAACAAAAAUAGUCGAAAGGAAGAGGGCGGUGUUUAUCGCUUAUCCACACACCACCAACUUGUUAAAAAUGUUUCCAACGGUGGAAAACUAGACUAAUAUUUUCGACAUUUUUUCUUUUUUUCUUUUUGGAAAAACCAGAGCCCAGGAAUUUUUCUUUUGUUUUAAAAAUAAACGACAUAAUCAUGGUUAAAGUUCGUACGAGAAAAGCUAUGAC